CCAAACUGUUGCCUCGGCGGGAUCUCUGCCCCGGGUGCGUCGCAGCCCCGGACCAAGGCGCCCGCCGGAGGACCAACCAAAACUCUUAUUGUAUACCCCCUCGCGGGUUUUUUACUAUCUGAGCCAUCUCGGCGCCCCUCGUGGGCGUUUCGAAAAUGAAUCAAAACUUUCAACAACGGAUCUCUUGGUUCUGGCAUCGAUGAAGAACGCAGCGAAAUGCGAUAAGUAAUGUGAAUUGCAGAAUUCAGUGAAUCAUCGAAUCUUUGAACGCACAUUGCGCCCGCCAGUAUUCUGGCGGGCAUGCCUGUCCGAGCGUCAUUUCAACCCUCGAACCCCUCCGGGGGGUCGGCGUUGGGGAUCGGCCCUUUACGGGGCCGGCCCCGAAAUACAGUGGCGGUCUCACCGCAGCCUCUCCUGCGCAGUAGUUUGCACACUCGCAUCAGGAGCGCGGCGCGUCCAAUGCUUCUAAAACACCCAUCUUUCUGAAAUGUUGACCUCGCAUCAGGUAGGAAAACCCGCCGAACUUACCCAUAUCAAUAAGCGGAAGAUUCAGCUGAAGCGCC
rnacentral:rRNA from 1 species